GACAAUCUAAACUCAGCCAAUAUCUUUGAACAUUUCAAGUUAUCCCACAAUAUGACUUCAUUACUUCCAUUUCUGUUUUUUCUGAUUGUGUUGGGUUCGGCAACAACAUAUGUGAAUGGGCAGCAGGUGGGAUUCGGUCAAUGUUUGGAUAAUUGUCGAAAUCCAUUCGUGACCUGUAUUUUUGUGACUUGCCAAGCUUUCAACUUCAAUUGUAUUGAAGAGCAGUGUGUAAAUGACCUCAAAUCAUGUGUUACUCUUUGCAAGUAACUAUUUCGUCAUUAGGAAUUACAUGUAACUGUUAAUCUGUGUUGUUUGCUGUAUCACUUUUGCAUCAUGCUUGUUAUCAUACUAUGAAUAAUAAAAGAACAGUUACUUUAUAAAAUGUCCAAUUAUAUCUAAUACGUUGUGAGGG
rnacentral:lncRNA from 1 species